UACAGGGGGUGCAAACGUUGCUCGGAAUCAUUGGGCGUAAAGCGCACGUAGGCGGUCUGUUAUGUCGGAUGUGAAAGCCCUCGGCUCAACUGAGGAAGUGCAUCCGAAACUGGCAGGCUAGAGUACUAAAGAGGGUCGCGGAAUUCCCGGUGUAGAGGUGAAAUUCGUAGAUAUCGGGAGGAACACCGGUGGCGAAGGCGGCGACCUGGGUAGAUACUGACGCUGAGGAGCGAAAGCCAGGGGAGCAAACGGG
rnacentral:rRNA from 1 species